CGUUACCGUCAGCUGAAGGGUAAAAUGGAGCACGACACGUAAAUAACGUUUAAUAACGGUUUUCUAACGUUAAAGUCGUUUUAAACAUUAACACACUCCUGAAUAAAAGGUUUAAGGAUUUAUUCCCGAAGUUAACGAAGCUAGACAGUGGAUUAAAAAGCAGCAGGACGUGAAAUAAAGCCGCACCAGCCCGAAACGAUGCCCGCAGCAGCAGCCGCGCUCUAAGCUAGCUCCCGUUUCGACCGAGAGAAACCGGGAUCGAAGGAGGAGAGAAACGAUGGGGGAAGUGGAAGACGAGAGGUGCUCUCAGGCCAGCCAGCUCUUCGAGAACUUCGUCCAGUCCUCCACGUGUAAAGGAACACUCCAGGCUUUCGGCUUGCUCUGCAGGCAGCUGGAACUCGACCCGACCGACCACCGAGGCUUCUAUAGCAACCUGAAGGCAGCCGUCACCUCAUGGAAGGCCAAAGCCUUGUGGACCAAGCUGGACAAACGAGCCAACCACAAGGAGUACAAGAAAGGCAGAGCAUGCACAGACCUCAGGUGUCUGGUCAUCGGCGGAGGCCCCUGCGGCUUGCGAACGGCCAUCGAGUUGGCGCUUCUCGGAGCCAAAGUGGUGGUGAUCGAGAAGAGGGACACGUUCUCCAGGAACAACGUCCUCCAUCUUUGGCCUUACACCAUCCACGACCUCAGAAACCUCGGCGCAAAGAAGUUCUACGGCAAGUUCUGCGCCGGAGCCAUAGACCAUAUCAGUAUUCGUCAGCUGCAGCUAAUCCUUCUGAAGGUGAGUCUCAUCGUCGGGGUGGAAGUUCACGUCAACGUCGAGUUUGUCAAACUCCUGGAGCCCCCCGAAAAGCAGGACGGCGUUGGGCAGGGAUGGAGAGCAGAAAUGUCACCCGUUAGUCAUCCCAUCUCUGACUACGAGUUUGACGUGUUAAUAGGAGCGGACGGACGCAGAAGCACGCUACACGGUUUUAAAAGGAAGGAGUUUCGAGGCAAGCUGGCCAUCGCCAUCACCGCCAACUUUGUCAACCGCAACACCACAGCGGAGGCCAAAGUGGAGGAGAUCAGCGGUGUGGCCUUCAUCUUCAACCAGAAGUUCUUCCUCGAGCUUAAGGAGGAGACAGGGAUUGAUCUGGAGAAUAUCGUCUACUACAAGGACAACACGCACUACUUCGUCAUGACGGCCAAGAAGCAGAGUUUGCUGGAUAAAGGGGUCAUUAUUCACGACUACAUUGAGACCGAGCGACUGCUGCACAGCGACAACGUCAAUCAGGAAGCUCUGCUGUCCUACGCCAGGGAGGCGGCUGACUUCGGCACCAACUACCAGCUUCCGUCUCUGGACUACGCCAUGAACCACUACGGACAGCCCGACGUGGCCAUGUUCGACUUCACCUGCAUGUACGCGUCGGAAAACGCCGCGCUCAUAAGGGAGAAGAACGGACACCAGCUGCUGGUGGCUCUGGUUGGAGAUAGUCUUCUGGAGCCCUUUUGGCCCAUGGGGACCGGAUGUGCUCGAGGCUUCCUGGCUGCAUUUGACACGGUGUGGAUGGUGCAGGGUUGGGCUCAGGGAAAAGCCCCUCUGGAGGCGCUGUCCGAGAGGGAGAGCAUCUACAGGCUUCUGCCUCAAACCACAGCCGAAAACAUCAGUAAAAACUUUGAGCAGCACACCAUCGACCCUGCGACCCGCUACCCCAACCUCAACUCCACCUGCGUCCGACCACACCAGGUCCAGCAUCUGUACAUCAACGGGGAGCAGAACCCAUGUUCUCUGGAGCGUAGUGGACCCACGCGCAGGUCCGUCAAUAUCUCCAGGAAAGAAUCGGCGGUGCGGCCCAGUCGCUUGUUGCUGUGGUGUCAGAAGCAGACUGAAGGAUACAGAGGAGUGAAUGUUACUGACCUCACUACGUCCUGGAGGAGCGGCCUCGCCCUGUGCGCCCUCAUCCACCACCAGCGCCCAGACCUCAUAGAUUUUGAUUCUCUGAACGAGGCAGACAGCGCCAAGAACAACCAGCUCGCGUUCGAGGUGGCCGAGAAGACGUUCAGCAUCCAGCCGCUCAUCACAGGACAGGAAAUGGCCGCUGAGCAGGAGCCCGACAAACUCGUCAUGGUGCUCUAUUUGUCCAAGUUCUACGAAAUGUUCUGCAACUCCUCCAUAUCUUCCUCAGGAGCUCCCAAAGAGACCAGCAAGAACAAUGAGGACCUUUCAUCCAAGCCCAAGAACUCUGUUUACAACUCAACAAAUCUCGCACUGCUCCGGAAACGGAUUCCAAAGGAUGACAAAAAGGUCGAAGAUGACAAGAAGAGAAGAAAAGGCAUCAGCUACCUGGACGAGCUGUCCAAACAGAGCACUUCGACUGCGGUGGAGGAGGGCGAGCAAAAAGAGAAUAAAGUGCGCUCCAUGGCAACUCAGCUUCAAGCCAAGUUCGAGGAGAACGCACCUAGCUGUGUCCUACGUCGACAGUCGGAGUCCGAUUCGAGUUCAGGAAAGCCUGUUUCUCUGGACAUGACUGAAAACCCUCGGUUUGCUAAACCCAAGCAGUCCUCACCCCCUCCUGAUUCUCCCAAACCAAAGUGGCAGCCGUCUCCUUAUUUGAGACUCCUGGAGUCUCAGAUGCAGCAUGGAAACAAACAGGGACACCUGGAAACCCAACAGGUUCAAGUCUGGUCACUUCACACCACCAUGGAGGAUCAGACAGGUUUUCAGUCACCAGAAUCUCAGUUAACUUCUCAGACAACUCAAAACGCUAAACCCUCAACUCCUGAACUUCAGUCCAGUCUUCAGGGCCUUUCUGUCUCAGCUGCACAACAUUCGACUCUGAAGCAUGUCCUCGUCCCCAAAGAGCGACGCGCGAUCACCUGCAAGUCCUCAGAAACCCCACUGAUCUCCACAGCUGCUCUGCAUCGGCUAAAGAUGGUGGAGGACAAGACCACUCAGAAGAAAGUGCAGAGUCAAAGCGCACAAGAGUUCAGCAGAAAGAGUAUAAGAGAGCGAGCGGAGCAACUGAGCUUCCUGUUCUCCGGCACACCGGCUCAGAAGAGUGGACCCUCUCCUGUUCCAGAUUCUUCUCCUAAACCUCUCUCGUGUCCAUCUCUCCUUCAGCCCUCUGCUCUUUCCUGUCUGCUGUCUCCUCUUCCUGAAGCUCAGCCCAAGCAGUGUAACGGACAUGCUGCGUCAGAGCCGACGACUCCUGAUCACCAGGGGCACAAAAAUCAAUCUGAGAUCAAACGUGUCCAAUGCCUCGAUCCUUCUAUACAGAGGACAGUGGGGAAAGUUUCCUCUGUAAUUGGUGUUAAAGCUGCCACUCUGGCUGUCCUUUAUGAAACCGAUCACAGACCCAACAACCCUUACACUCUCUCACUGACCGAGGCCAGGAGAAGUCAGGAGUCUGGUUCGGUUAACCUGCGGAAGGAGUUUGCUCCCGGGAUGGGCGGCAGCGACACGUGCCACUUCUGUAAGAAGCGUGUGUAUGUGAUGGAGAGACUGAGCGCAGAGGGCUACUUCUUCCAUCGAGAGUGUUUCCGAUGUGACGUCUGCAGCGCCACACUGAGGCUGGGAGGACACGUGUUUGACCAAGGUACUUUUUACUGCAAGCUGCACUUUUCCCAGCGCAAAACCAGCCACAGGCUUCGAAAGCCACAGGUCCACAGAAGCGACGUGUCUGUACUUGACGAUACUGACGGAUUCUCCACCAGCGGGAGCCUCCACAUAAAGCCUUCAGGUACCCUGAGUUCCCUGUUUAGGAAACGGCUGCACGUGAGCCGGCUGACCGGCUGGAUGCAUGGCGUGGCCUGGGCUUUAUGGUUACACCUCAGUGAGCGGCGAGACGACUAUGCCUUCUUUUCUGAACUUCUGGGCCUCGGCAUCCCUCUGCUGUUUAUUCUGUAUGAGACAACAGCACAGAUUUGUCUUGAGGGGAAGAUCCCAAACUCAAUUAUAGCGUUAGAGUGAGGCGUCUGUCUGACCGACUGCCUCCCCCACACACUCCGCUCUCUUCUUUUAACCCUCCGCUGUUUCACAGAGGUGUUCAAGGAAUCUGCCACCACUGAUGCUGAAGUUUCUUUAAUCAGUGUUUGAUUUCCAAAUUGUGCCAAAAUCUGCACACGUUCCUCCAGUCCAUGACUCUUUAAUCAGAGGUCAUGAAUCUGUCUGGUGUUUGAUUGCAGUAUUAGUAAUUUUGCACAUUUGCACCGAACACUGACGCUUUUCCUGUUUAAACUCCUGAUUAAAUGCUCGUUCAUGUUAACGAUCCCAUUCCGCAAAUCAGGAGAAACGUCGAAACGUGAGGUAAAGAAGGACGACAGGACUGAAAUUUACUCUUAUACAGGCUUUAAGAGCUUAUCAGUAUUUUUAUAGUAAAGGAUUACUCCAGUUUUUUUUUUUUUUGUUUGUUUGUUUUUUAAAGCUUCGUACUAAGCAAUAAAUUUCUAUUGCACGCUAAAUUCAUGAGGAUUAAGACAGAAUUUUAAAAAAAUGCCAUUUCAUAAAUCAUAUCCGCUUCAAUCGUUAUAUCCCACGAUACACGUCGGAUGAUGGGAGUCUUAGGGUCGUGAUGUGUUACAGGGCAUGUGUCAUGUAGUCCCAUCAUUUCUCUCACAGCUUGUAGACGAUUAUGCAACUUUACAUCUUACCCGGGAAAGCGCCGGGUCAGGAUCGGUUCAUUCCCUCCAACCGAUCGGCCUCUAAUCUCUAAUAAAAGCCUAAAAUCAGCUGAUUAAACAAGUGGAAUCAGGCGUAAAUGCUGAUCGACGAUUAGAAUGAAAAGCUAAAUCCAUACCGGUGCUCUGAGGAUCAGAUCCGACACCUUUCUGCUUUAUACUGCGUUUGAACUCCAUUAUGACGUUAAACAUUUUGGAAAGUGGGUCAUUUUUAUUUGGAACAAAAUCUUUGUUGCUAAAACCUAAACAAUACUGAACAAUACUUGGAUUUUUCACCUCUUGCUAUGGCAAAGUACGUGUAGAUAAGUGGGAGUGGAGAGAACAUUUAAGUCUCCAGUUAAUUAAUUAUUUAAUUAACUGAUUGAUUUGAUUGAUUAAGCAUUUAUACCAGAUUUGCCUCUGUGUUCUUAUUGUUUCUCAGGAAAAAUGAAUAAUAAUCAUUUGCUGUCCUGUCCAGACAUCCACUAGAGUUUUGGUGUGUUAGAAUUGUUUUCUAGGCGUCGCCGAUUAAGCGCUCGGACAUAAAGGUUUAUAUAAUUAUACGAUCGAUUCAUGAUCCGCUGUAAAACUUGUAUUAUCAAGAACUUUGAGGAUUCAGGAGGAUGUUUCUGUUUGGUGAAAGUCACACAGCGGAUAUGAGACGAGGUUGAGCCCAGACGCCGGAGUAUUCGUUUAUUCUAGUCAGCACUAAAAUGUUUUAAUCAGUCUUUAACGAGCGUACGAAAAGCACUUUUCUCUACUUUUCUCUGAGGUGUCACAGCUAACCUCUCACCGUUUUUGUGUACGAUUUGUAAGCGGAAACGCCAAUCAAUGGAAUUUACUUCAUUUUUUUUUAUUUUUUUUUAUUUUUAUUUCUAAAGUCAUACAAUAACAGUAUUAUGUUUUCUGUACAUUUUUUUUUAGUUAGUCUAAAUUGCCUACUGCUCUAUUGACAUUUCAAAAAACCCUCCUAAAUUUCUUUCCUCUGUUUCUCUUCAUCCUUCAUCCACACCCUACCGUUAGACCGUUUCAUGUUUUCAAUGCUCCGACCCCCUGAUUGGCAGAGCGGUGGUGCCUGAAGGUGAUCGGCCUGCAUUAGCCAGAGGCUGCAUUACUGUCCAAAUCGUACUCCAGACCUCUGUCUUGUUCUGAGGUCACCACUUAGUGAAGGAUCCUUCUGUAGUUUAAACAAUUUUUUCGUCAAUUUUUUUUUUUUUUUGUAAAUUUGUAGUUCUCUUUAUACAUUUUCCUACAAGUCUGUACAUUUCCUAGCACAUGAUGAUAAAUGUUCUUUUUUUUUUUUUUUUUUUUUCUUAAUUUAUAUACUUUCAAUCCUGUACGUAUUAAAUAAAUCUAUUUUCAACUCUAUUUCUGUUUCUGUUUUUUUGUUUACCAUUUUGAUCCAUGUGCAACGUUUGGGGGGAAGUAAAAAGAAAAACGUCUCUGCACUUUUUGUACCCUCACGACACGCUGACCAGUGUAACUUUUCCGUUUCUUUCUAAUAAAUUGACGGCACUUUCUUCACCAUAUACCUGAAAAGUGCGUCUUGUUAACGCAGGCUUGUUGCCUGACUAAAACCCCACCCACCCAAUUCCCAAACCCUCCGGGUGCCGCCUAAAGUUCCGCCCAGAAAGCGUGCAUACAUUCGACCCAUUGCGUGUACAACUCACUAUCACUGGUGUUCAGAAGGGUGUUGGGUCUUUUCUUUUGGGUCUUUUCUGUCCUUUCCUUGCCCUAAAAUUCUAUUAAAGAGAUGAGCGACUAUUUAUUUAUAUUUUUAUGUGAAAUGUUCAGAUGGUCACGACUGCACUCGAUCGAUUUAUCCGGUGAAACGGAUAUGGAUCAUGAAUCCUCUCGUUACAAUCCAGUUGUGUUUGUAUAGCACUUUUAACUUUGAGCGAGCCAGAGGCGAUGGCAGUGAGGAAAAAAGAGACUGAGAUGAUACGAGGAAGAAAUAACGUAUCUCGUACGUAUCUGAGACGAUACGAGGAAGAAAUCUUGAGACUCAAAAAGAAACUCGUUUUUUUCUGUGACCGGUCUAGAGAUUAUUAAAAAAAAAACACACAACGCCAUCAAGAAAAACUGGUUAAAACUGACAUUAAUCAGAGAAAUAUCCAAGAGGCCAAGGCUAAAAAUAAAGGAUGUGAAAAGAUCUGAACACAAAGAAGCUGUAGACAGCAAAUAUCCUGGAUGUUCCACAAAGCUGGGCUGAAAUCCUGUCUGAAGCUCUAGAGUGAAACGUGGUGGUGGUACAGUAGUAUCCUGAGAACACCAUCACUACAGUGAAACAUGGUGGAGGUACAGUAGCAUCCUGAAAACACCAUCACUACAGUGAAACGUGGUGGUGGUACAGUAGCAUCCUGAGAACACCAUCACUACAGGGAAACAUGGUGGUACAGUAGCAUCCUGAGAACACCAUCACUACAGUGAAA